ACUCCUACGGGAGGCAGCAGUGAGGAAUAUUGGUCAAUGGAGGGAACUCUGAACCAGCCAUCCCGCGUGUAGGAAGACGGCCUUAUGGGUUGUAAACUACUUUUAUACAGGAAGAAACGUACCCUCGUGAGGGUGCCGUGACUGGAUGUACUGUAGGAAUAAGCACCGGCUAACUCCGUGCCAGCAGCCGCGGUAAUACGGAGGGUGCGAGCGUUAUCCGGAUUUAUUGGGUUUAAAGGGUCCGUAGGCGGAUUAAUAAGUCAGUGGUGAAAUCCCAUCGCUUAACGAUGGAACUGCCAUUGAUACUGUUAGUCUUGAAUGAGGGUGCAGUGGUUGGAAUGUGUAGUGUAGCGGUGAAAUGCAUAGAUAUUACACAGAACACCGAUUGCGAAGGCA
rnacentral:rRNA from 1 species